AAAAAUUUUAAUUUAGUUUAAAAAUUUAGUAGGAAUUUUAUUUAUAUAUAAAUUUAAGUUUAAUAAAAAGUUUAAAUAAUCAGUUUUAAAUUUUAAUAUAUAAUUUUAAUUAUAAAAUAAUUUUUAUCAUUAGAAAUUUUUAUAGUAUAAGUAAAUUUUGUGCCAGCAACAGCGGUUAAACAAAAUAUACAACUAAAUUUAUAUUUAAUUAUUAAAUUAAAAAUUAUUUUAUAAUUAAUAUUUAAAUUUAAAGAUUAAAUUAAAAUUUAAAUUGAUUUUAUAAAUAAGAAUAAUUGAAUUAAUAAAAUUAAGAUAUAAAUUAGGAUUAGAUACCCUAUUAUUUUAAAUCUAAUUAUAGUUAAUAGUUAUUAAAUUAAUUUAAAAUUAAAAAUUAUGGCGGUAAUUUAUUUAAUUAGGGGAACUUGUUCCGUAAUCGAUAAUCCACGAAUAGAUAAACUUAUUUUUAAAUAUUUAUGUAUGUUCGUUUUAAAAAAAUUUUAUUAAAAUUAAUUUUUUAAAAUUUUUAUAAAAUUGUAAUUCAGAUCAAUAUGUAAUUUAUAAAUAAGAGGAAAUGAGUUACAAUAAAAUUGAUUUUUAGUUUAAUAAUUUUAAUAAUUAUUAAUAAAAUGGAUUUAAUAGUAAAUUAAUUAAAUUAAAUUAAUUGAAUUAAUUUUAAAUUAUGUACAAAUUGCCCGUCACUUCUAAUAUAAAAUUAGAAUAAGUCGUAACAAAGUAAGUGUACUGGAAGGUGUACUUAGUA
rnacentral:ncRNA from 1 species